AUUGAACGCUGGCGGCAGGCCUAACACAUGCAAGUCGAACGGUAACAGGAAGAAGCUUGCUUCUUUGCUGACGAGUGGCGGACGGGUGAGUAAUGUCUGGGAAACUGCCUGAUGGAGGGGGAUAACUACUGGAAACGGUAGCUAAUACCGCAUAACGUCGCAAGACCAAAGAGGGGGACCUUCGGGCCUCUUGCCAUCGGAUGUGCCCAGAUGGGAUUAGCUAGUUGGUGGGGUAACGGCGCACCAAGGCGACGAUCCCUAGCUGGUCUGAGAGGAUGAGCAGCCACGCUGGAACUGAGACACGGUCCAGACUCCUACGGGAGGCAGCAGUGGGGAAUAUUGCACAAUGGGCGCAAGCCUGAUGCAGCCAUGCCGCGUGUAUGAAGAAGGCCUUCGGGUUGUAAAGUACUUUCAGCGGGGAGGAAGGGAGUAAAGUUAAUACCUUUGCUCAUUGACGUUACCCGCAGAAGAAGCACCGGCUAACUCCGUGCCAGCCGCCGCCGUAA
rnacentral:rRNA from 1 species